CCUACGGGGGGCAGCAGUAGGGAAUCUUCCACAAUGGACGAAAGUCUGAUGGAGCAACGCCGCGUGAGUGAAGAAGGGUUUCGGCUCGUAAAGCUCUGUUGGUAGUGAAGAAAGAUAGGGGUAGUAACUGGCCUUUAUUUGACGGUAAUUACUUAGAAAGUCACGGCUAACUACGUGCCAGCAGCCGCGGUAAUACGUAGGUGGCAAGCGUUUUCCGGAUUUAUUGGGCGUAAAGCGAGUGCAGGCGGUUCAAUAAGUCUUCUGUGAAAACCUUCGGCUUCACCGGAGAAUUUCAUCAGAAACUU
rnacentral:rRNA from 1 species